CCUACGGGAGGCAGCAGUGAGGAAUAUUGGUCAAUGGGCGCGAGCCUGAACCAGCCAAGUAGCGUGAAGGAUGAAGGCCCUACGGGUGGUAAACUUCUUUUAUAAAGGAAUAAAGUGAGGCACGUGUGCCUUUUUGUAUGUACCUUAUGAAUAAGGAUCGGCUAACUCCGUGCCAGCAGCCGCGGUAAUACGGAGGAUCCGAGCGUUAUCCGGAUGUAUUGGGUUAAAAGGGAGCGUGGGCGGAGGCACAAGUCAGCGGUAAAAUCGCGGGGCUCAACCCCGCCCCGCCGUUGAAACUGUGUCCCUUGAGUGCGCGAGAGGUAGGCGGAAUGCGUGGUGUAGCGGUGAAAUGCAUAGAUAUCACGCAGAACUCCGAUCGCGAAGGCAGCCUACCGGCGCGCAACUGACGCUCAUGCACGAAAGCGUGGGUAUCGAACAGGAUUAGAUACCCGUGUAGUC
rnacentral:rRNA from 1 species